UACGAAGGGGGCUAGCGUUGCUCGGAAUCACUGGGCGUAAAGGGUGCGUAGGCGGGUUUUUAAGUCAGAGGUGAAAUCCUGGAGCUCAACUCCAGAACUGCCUUUGAUACUGAAAGUCUUGAGUAUGGGAGAGGUGAGUGGAACGGCGAGUGUAGAGGUGAAAUUCGUAGAUAUUCGCAAGAACACCAGUGGCGAAGGCGGCUCACUGGCCCAUUACUGACGCUGAGGCACGAAAGCGUGGGGAGCAAACAGG
rnacentral:rRNA from 1 species